rnacentral:tRNA from 1 species
GUUCUUGUGGUUUAAUAAUAACGGUGGUUUUUCAAGUCAUUAGUUCAGGUUAAAGUCCUGGCAGGAAUU